rnacentral:rRNA from 1 species
AUGAGAUAUAUCUGCCAUGCCAUCGACCCGCACUCUCAAGAUCUCAGCGCCAUGGAUUCUGCUCAUGACGACGGCUUUGCGCUGGAGAUGGCGGAGCUGCCGCUGGAGACGCGGUGCCCGCCGUUCGCGCUGCGCCAGCCGGACGACGUGCUCCUCGCCAGCUUCCCCAAGUCCGGCACCACGUGGCUCAAGGCGCUCGCCUUCGCCACCGUGCACCGGGACGCGCACCCACCGUCCGCUGACGACCACCCGCUCGGCCGCCGCAACCCGCACGACUGCGUCCCGUUCCUCGAGAUCAGCCUCGCGCGCGCCGACGACGUGGGCGCCGCGGCGGCCGAGCUCGAGGCGCUCCCUUCCCCGCGCGUGCUCGCCACGCACCUGCCCUUCUCCCUCCUCCCCGAGCGCAUCCGGAGCCGGAGCCGGAUCGUGUACGUCUGCCGGAACCCCAAGGACGCGCUUGUCUCCUCCUGGCUCUUCACCAGGAAGGCGUCGGAGGCCGUGGGCGUUGACGCCGAGUCCUUCCCGCUCCAGGAUGCCGUGGAGCUCUACUGCGCGGGGCGCUGCCUCGACGGCCCACAGUGGCGGCACGUGGUCGAGUACUGGGAGGCCAGCCUCAGCCGCCGGAACGAGCACCCGGACAGGGUCCUGUUCCUCAGGUACGAGGAGAUGCUCCCCGACCCCGUGAGGAGCCUGAGGACGAUGGCGGAGUUGGGGUGCGCCUUCUCCCGGGAGGAGGAGGAGCGAGGGGUGGACCGCGCCAUCGUGGAGCUGUGCAGCAUGGGGAAGCUCAAGAGCGUGGACGCCAACAUGAAGGGGCGGAGGGUUCAGGCGUCAAGGCCGACGCCUUCUUCCGGAAGGGGGUGGCCGGGGAUUGGAGCAACCACAUGA